CAGGAGCGCAGUUCUGUUAAGGACGUACACACAGCUUGGGAAUCAAAUAAAGAUAUUUCAUAUUAAAAGGGUCCACCUGUACAUCAGUAAUGGACGAUGCUGAAUCAGAAACAAGUUCCUUUACAGAGCUUACAAAGAGUGAGGCUGUUUCUGAAAUUAUUUGCUCUUUGGGACAAAAGCCAGAGACUACUGAAAGUGUACUGAUGGAGAGCGUAGACUCACCUGAAAAUAGCUGUGUUUCCAUGAAGAGUGACGAGUCAAUGGACGUCCCAGCUCACUUUAGCCGGGGACAUUUUCCUACAG